CAUAACAGCCACUGGUGGCGCUUUAAUCAAGCCCAGGAAUUCCAGCCUAGUUCGGCAAGGUGGAAAUUGGACUUUUCAAGUCAGUUAACUCUCUUGCCUUUGGAAGAUGUAUUUAUUGAAGUAUGUGUCUUUUGUCAUAAGACAUGCACUGCUUCUCAUUACAUUGUCUUUCAAAGCAAAUAUUUUGAGAACAGUUUCUCUGAAACAUGGUGAAGAUUCUCAAACAUGACAACAUCAUUCAUCAAACCUACCUGUCAUGCUGGCAUUUCAAGUGAAAUAUAGUCAAGUCCCGUUAAUACGACAUCGAUGGUUGCAUAUGAUUAUGUCGGAUUAACGAUUAUGUCGGAUAAACCAAAUUAAGCAGUAUCAACGUUCUUGAUCGAAAAUCAGACAGCUACCCGGUACAGGAUAGAUAACGAUUCAAACAUGCAAUAAAAAAACAUAAAAUAAAUAUCCAUAUUGUUAUGUUACAUUGUUAGCGUAAUAUGUUUUCUAAUAAUGCAACCUCUUAAGUUAAAUACAAAACAACUAUUACGGACUGUAUGACUUAUUCAAAAUAUUUUAAAAAGCAUAUUCUGGGAUGGAACUCGCAACUUUGAAACUGGUACCGCAAAGCUUAGAAAGCUGCUUUCUAAGUGGCUAACAUUGACUUCCUGUUAGUCAUUUCAUUGGUAGGUCAGGUAGGUAGGUAAUAUGCAGCUACCAGCCGAUUCGUCUCGCAUCAGAACACAGGCUGUGCACUCGCGGGCAGAUGACCACGGAGUACGCUGAUCACUGUGUCCUAUUAAAGAGACUGAUUAAUGAGUAAUUUCGGUAAUUCGUUGCAAAUUACAUGUGUCGGAGUCGGAGUGCGAGACUGACUGAUUAACUGGUCUCAGUAGCACUGAUUUAAUCGAUUCCCAUCAUUAGUGUCGGAUAAAGUCGAUUGUUGGAUUAACGAGUGUCGGAUUAACGAGUGUCGGAUUAACGAGACUUGACUGUAUCUUACAUUUUGUAGCAUACGAAAGAGGCUCCCUACCCUCAAUAGUUUCUGUUGCCUUGUAACCAAUUGGUUGAAUAUUUUCAACUGCUUUGAAAAAGCUUUGAUUAACGAAAUGUUAUCUUAUCAUAAAAUAAACAGAAGUAUGAAGCAUGAUAAUAACAAUAACAAAACAACAACAAUAACAUCAUGUCCAGUACACUGACAUUGUUACCCUGGUCAGUGGAUCAGCGUGCAGUCCCAUUGCAUUCUCAGCUCCAUGGGGAGUAUGCAACCAAUGCUGCCUGUACGGUGCUGGAAGAUUCAACAGUCACAUGACCAUCUCAUCUACAUCCUCACCCAUUUGCUGCCUGUUGAGAGGAACAUUUCGAUCAAAGACUGCAUGGCAUAUAAAUAAGUGCUUUGAGGUUGUGUCCAUAUCUGUGAUAUUCAUGGGUUGGAACAGUGUCAAUGUGCAUUUUGAAAGUACAAAUAUUACCUUCUUGACUUUUUGUAAGAAUAAUAUUUUCUCUUAUCUAAUUAGUGAGUGAGUGAGUAUGGUUUUACGCCGCUUUUAGCAAUAGCCAGCAAUAUCACAGCGGGGGACACCAGAAAUGGGCUUCACACAUUGUACCCAUGUCGGGAAUCGAACCAGGGUCUUCGGCGUGACAAGCGAACGCUUUGACCACUAGGCUACCUGACAGCCCCCACCAUAAUAAAUUACUUACACUCACUAUUUGCAUUCCCUGAACUUGUUGACUUGAUGAAAUAGUCCAUAUGCAUAGUCUACCAACUAUUCGCACUUCAUGUGAAUCGGAUCUGUCGAAAAUUAAUGUACACAGAUUCCUUGAACAGUUUAUUUUUGAAAUUUCAAACGAAUAUUAAAUGACUCCCACCUCUCUUUAAGAAAAAAACCAACAUGAGAGUAACCACAAUUCUCUUGCUCAAUACUGAUUACUUCUCCAUCUGUUGUGAAGUGUGGAAGUGAUCUGUUAUGAAAUUAUGAAUACCCCCAUGGGGGUAUGUUAAUUUUUGAGAAUAAUUGAUACUAUCAGUUUGAUAAAUGCGAGACAUGUUUUUGUUUAUGCUAAAAAAUCCUGUUAUCACUUUUAAUUCAGUGUUUCAAGAAUAAGUAAUUUGAUUAACUUUCUUGCAAAGAAAUAAUCAUAUCGAAUAUUUAUUAUUUUUUGAGACUUGGAAAUGUUUUAAAUAAAUAUCAGUUGUAUGUGUUCCUAAUAGAACUUUCUAUAUUUAGAGUGUUUGGGGCUGAACAUUUGAUAAUCUUGGGGGAAUUGUGAUUUUUAAAAAUCUUACCAGUAAUUUGUUCCAGAAAAUACUUAAAGUAUUAAAUGGUCCUUCCCUAACUUUUAUUAGAACUAUGAAAUUAUUUCAAUUUUUAAUCCUGUUCAACAAGAACAAAAUUGAGGUUUCAUUAUUAAGAGUAAUUGUGUAUAAUUUAUGAGAUAUUAAUUCCAGACACAUUCAUACACCAAUAUUCACUUAUCUCAAUGUUCAGUUUUACAGUUACCAUGGUUACAAACAUAAUUCCGUCCUGUGAUGUUAAAGGUCAUUCCGGUGCAGUGAUUGUUGUUGCAGAAUUGUACCAUUGGAAGUGUGAUAAAGCCUUCAAUAUCCUGGAAAGGUUCAUAUGAAGAAAUGAUAUGUGGACUGACAUUCCCAUGCUAUUUUUGACUAUUUUCUGUAUAUGUUGUGCCUUGUUGCUAUGUCUGCCUUGACGACUUCUGUGAUUUUUUGGUAUAUAUUUGGCAUUUGAAUUACAGUGUAUAAAAGUGACUGUUUUGCCCUAUCUUGGCAAUUUUCGUUAGUUAUUGAACACAUUGUGAAUGGUUUCCAAUAUACAGUUGAAGUCUAUUAAGUGGAGUCGAAAAUGUCUACUUGUUCAGAAUUCUCCUUAUCAAACAUGGAGGCCUCCCACUAUUUCAAGUUGUGGAAUAUAUUCACAACUGUGAGUUGAAUGUUUUUUAACACAUUCCACAUGUUAAUAAACGUGAUUUUUAGUUUAUUCAUUGACUGGGGAGCAUGGGUGAACCUGCCAUCCCUAUGUAUUGCAAUUUGAUGUGCAGAGUUGCUUCCCUUGGGGCUGCCAGAAGCCUAUGAUCUUGCACCAGUGUUUCAGUGUCCUGCUUGAGAACCAAUCGUGUUUAUGUUUGUGUAAGUGAUACUAUGUGGUUUUUGGAAGGAAAUCUUAUUGAUGAUAUUUCAAUAUUUCAGUUCUCCACAUAUUUAUCAUGGCUGGUGUAAUGUGUGGAGAUAUAACUUUCUUGGUGAGCGACAUAUGAAUAUUGCUUUAUAACAAACAGAAAGAUCAUGUGCAGAUUCAGUGAUUCAUCAGUUCAUUAAUUGAUAUGAGAACCGGGAUUAUUCUGUGGGUACAGAAUGAAGGUUACAAUGAAGUCACAAUAUUGUUGUUGCAGUUGAUUCUGAUCCAGGAAUAUACUGGCCAUUCUGAAUGUGCAUUUUAACAAGUACACCUGACACAACUGUAGGUCAUUAUGCAAAAGUAUUGAGAAAUGCUAUAUCAACCGUAACAUUGUUUUAGUAGGAGAAAUCACUCAAAUCUUUUGAUAUCUGCAUUACAUAUGGAACUACCCCAAACUUUUGGUACUCAGAGCUAUUGCGGUUGUGAUGUUGCGAGCUGUUGCUGUUGUGAGGUUGCAAGCUGUUGCUAUAGUGAUGUUGUCAGCUGUUGCUAUGGUGAGGUUGAGAGUUGUUGCUAUUGUGAGGUUGCAAGCUGUUGCUAUAGUGAUGUUGUCAGCUGUUGCUAUGGUGAGGUUGAGAGCUGUUUCUAUUGUGAGGUUGCAUGCUGUUGCUGUAGUGACUUUGUCAGCUGUUGCUAUGGUGAGGUUGAGAGCUGUUGCUAUGGUGAGGUUGACAGCUGUUGCUGUAGUGACUUUGUCAGCUGUUGCUAUGGUGAGGUUGAGAGCUGUUGCUAUGGUGAGGUUGAGAGCUGUUGCUAUGGUGAGGUUGACAGCUGUAUGUUUAUGAUCCCUCUGUGUUGGCAGUACACUGAAGACAGGAUCAACAGAUUUCAACUGGUUUAUCUUGCCCUUAGAAAAAGGA